UAUAUUUUAGUAUAUGAUGUACCAGGGUUUUUGAUUCCCUUAGAAACGGUCUAAUUCCGUUAGAUAUAA
rnacentral:tRNA from 1 species